UACGGAGGGUGCAAGCGUUAUCCGGAUUCACUGGGUUUAAAGGGUGCGUAGGUGGGUUGGUAAGUCAGUGGUGAAAUCUCCAGGCUUAACUUGGAAACUGCCAUUGAUACUAUCAAUCUUGAAUACCGUGGAGGUCAGCGGAAUAUGCCAUGUAGCGGUGAAAUGCUUAGAUAUGACAUAGAACACCAAUUGCGAAGGCAGCUGGCUACACGAAUAUUGACACUGAUGCACGAAAGCGUGGGGAUCAAACAGG
rnacentral:rRNA from 1 species